UACGAGGGGGGCAAGCGUUGUUCGGAAUUAUUGGGCGUAAAGGGUGCGUAGGCGGUUUGACAAGGCUAGUGUGAAAUCUAUGGGCUCAACCCAUAGUCUGCACUGGAAACUGUCGGGCUUGAGUAUGGGAGAGGUGAGUGGAAUUUCCGGUGUAGCGGUGAAAUGCGUAGAUAUCGGAAGGAACACCUGUGGCGAAAGCGGCUCACUGGACCAUUACUGACGCUGAUGCACGAAAGCUAGGGGAGCAAACAGG
rnacentral:rRNA from 1 species